rnacentral:tRNA from 1 species
GCCGGCCUGUCACGCCGGAGGUCGCGGGUUCGAGUCCCGUCCGGUCCGCCA